UACAGAGGUCUCAAGCGUUGUUCGGAUUCAUUGGGCGUAAAGGGUGCGUAGGCGGCGCGGUAAGUCGGGUGUGAAAUCUCGGAGCUUAACUCCGAAACUGCAUUCGAUACUGCCGUGCUUGAGGACUGGAGAGGAGACUGGAAUUUACGGUGUAGCGGUGAAAUGCGUAGAUAUCGUAAGGAACACCAGUGGCGAAGGCGGCUCACUGGCCCGAUACUGACGCUGAGGCACGAAAGCGUGGGGAGCAAACAGG
rnacentral:rRNA from 1 species